rnacentral:rRNA from 1 species
GAUGAACGCUGACAGAAUGCUUAACACAUGCAAGUCAUUGGCGAAGCUGCGCUUGCGCAGUCUAGCCAAGGCGGACGGGUGAGUAACGCGUAAGGAACUUGCCCUGCAGACAGGGAUAACAGACGGAAACGACUGAUAACACCUGGUAUUGUCAGGCUGGCGCAUGCCGGCCUGAUGAAAGGAGACGCUGCAGGAGAGCCUUGCGUCCUAUUAGCUAGUUGGUGGGGUAACGGCCCACCAAGGCGAUGAUAGGUAGCCGGCCUGAGAGGGUGAACGGCCACAAGGGGACUGAGAUACGGCCCUUACGCCUACGGGAGGCAGCAGUGGGGAAUAUUGGACAAUGGGGGCAACCCUGAUCCAGCAAUUCUGUGUGCACGAAGAAGGUUUUCGGAUUGUAAAGUGCUUUCAGCGGGGAAGAAGAAAGUGACGGUACCUGCAGAAGAAGCGACGGCUAAAUACGUG